GAGGGGGUGGAAGAAGUGGAGGAGUGAGACAGUAAUCACAUGCUUUAGCAUAUCCCAUGGGAACAGCUGGGCCCGGGAGCUGCAAGCCAGAGGGCUUCAUUUGCUGGGUCUCUGCAAAGCAACCAGUGGCCAUGUCAUGAAGAUCCUCAGGAAGCCCAUGGAAAUGCCUGUAUGGGAAGGAAUUGAGGCCUCCUGGAAAAAGCAAGCAUCAACUUUCAGGCAUGUGAGCGAGCCACAUUGGAUGUGGAUCGUCCAGCCUCAGUCAAGCCUUCAGAUGACGCCCCAGCUGACAUUGGACUGCAACCCUAUGAGAGACUAUGAGCUAGAACUACUUAGCUGGACUGCUACCAAGUUCCUGACCCACAUAAACUAUUAUAAGUGACUUGCAAGGUGAAUGGCGAGGUAGGACGGGAACUGAGACCACAGGACUCCCCAGCUGGUGCUCCCAAUAGCAGCCCUGCCCAGCCCCUCCACGCCCUGCUCCAACCCUGCAGACGUGACCAACGCCUCUGCUGCCACCACCAGGAUGUCCGCCAGGACCGCAGGCAAAGGCAGACCCCCCCUGGGAAGAAACUCUAGAAACAGAAGCUAAAGCAUGCACCCCAGCGCCAGACGGGAAAGAAGAGGCUGAAGGUGAGGCCACGUCAGGAGGGUGAAAUCUUUAGCACGCCUGUGG